rnacentral:rRNA from 1 species
GACUCCUACGGGAGGCAGCAGUGAGGAAUAUUGGACAAUGGGCGCAAGCCUGAUCCAGCCAUGCCGCGUGCAGGAUGACGGUCCUAUGGAUUGUAAACUGCUUUUGUACAGGAAGAAACACUCCCUCGUGAGGGAGCUUGACGGUACUGUAAGAAUAAGGAUCGGCUAACUCCGUG